AGAGUUUGAUCAUGGCUCAGGACGAACGCUGGCGGCGUGCUUAACACAUGCAAGUCGAGCGGAAAGGCCCCUUCGGGGGUACUCGAGCGGCGAACGGGUGAGUAACACGUGAGUAACCUGCCCUCGACUCUGGGAUAAGCCUGGGAAACUGGGUCUAAUACCGGAUAUUCACCUCCUGUCGCAUGGUGGGGGGUGGAAAGUUCCUCCGUUUUGGGGGUUCGGUCGGGGAUGGGCUCGCGGCCUAUCAGCUUGUUGGUGGGGUGACGGCCUACCAAGGCGACGACGGGUAGCCGGCCUGAGAGGGCGACCGGCCACACUGGGACUGAGACACGGCCCAGACUCCUACGGGAGGCAGCAGUGGGGAAUCUUGCGCAAUGGGCGAAAGCCUGACGCAGCGACGCCGCGUGGGGGAUGAAGGCCUUCGGGUUGUAAACCCCUUUCAGCACCGACGAAGUUUGGACGGUAGGUGCAGAAGAAGCGCCGGCUAACUACGUGCCAGCAGCCGCGGUAAUACGUAGGGCGCGAGCGUUGUCCGGAAUUAUUGGGCGUAAAGAGCUCGUAGGCGGCUUGUCGCGUCUGUCGUGAAAGCCCACGGCUUAACCGUGGGUUUGCGGUGGAUACGGGCAGGCUAGAGGCAGGUAGGGGAGCAUGGAAUUCCCGGUGUAGCGGUGAAAUGCGCAGAUAUCGGGAGGAACACCGGUGGCGAAGGCGGUGCUCUGGGCCUGUUCUGACGCUGAGGAGCGAAAGC
rnacentral:rRNA from 1 species